CUGGGGUGGCCAUUCAGGUCUAAUUGAAAAGUCCUAGACAAGGUCUAGCAUGUACUCAUUUAACAAUCUCUUAUUUGGCAUUUAUGAAGUUGAACCAUGUAAAAUGGCUGAUAUCUGCACAUCUUUGACCUACCCAAGUGGAAAUAGCACAUGGCUCGACCUGAUACUAUAUGCAAGCUACUGUCCUUGGUUUUGUAGAUAUAAAGAGAGAUAAGACACAGCCAAUCCUCAAGGGACUGCUGGGAGACAAUCCCAUAGGGAAUUAGGGGCAAGUUUGGGGUAUAUUUAGAGCUAUGAGAAAGAGAAAGAGGAAAGAGGGGAUAUCGAGGCAGUGUCCUGAAGUAGGAACUUGCUUCUUUCAUCUGUGGGAGUCUAGAUCUGACCGAACACAGCAUGGAGCCCCUCUUCUUGCUGUCUCAGCAUCUGUGGAAUGACCAGCAAACCCAGAAUCUCAAAGCCAGUUUCAGAGCAGGCCACUGUUUAGGAGUCUCGGUCUCAGCAGUCAAAUAUAAUUCCUAACUGAUGCAAGAGGAACAUCGAUCCUCACUCUCAAGGCAUUUGUAGUUUUACUGACAAGACAAGAUAAAGACCUGCCAGACUGGGUCUCUGGGCCUAUUGAAUUCUCUCCGCCUCUGGCCGGUAGGAUGUCACGCCCCAGGCCCCAGCCUCAACCUGCCCACACUGAUCUGGAGGUACCCAAGAACAUCUGACCCCGAUCGCAUUCAUGUGACACCUUUGUUCAAGCGCUAAAUUCACUUGAGAGAAGAAAAAAAAAACACACCCCAACCAGGAAAUACAUCUUUUACAGCUAUUUCACGUGGCGCUGGAAUCUCGCUUUAAAGAACAUUCUUGUGGCAUUUCCAGUUCUUUUCCUUUCAGGACUGCAAACAGGACUAGCCCGUCCAAAGGGAAACUACUCCCCAGCAGAGCCGUUCUUCAAAGGGGACUUCUUCGGGCAGGAAAAGGGAACGUCUGAUACGGGGGCUGAAUAAACAGACUCUCGGAGCUGAGAGCCAGAUUGGAAAACCAGGCCCUGUGACCCACGGUGCAGCCGCCGGCCACGGGCCACGUGUGCACUGUGUCCCUGUCCUCCCUGCCCCUCUGUCUCUCUCUCUCUCUCUUUUGCUUCCAUUCUGUCUCUUCAUCACCAACUGCCUACGUGUUCCUAGGUAUAUAAAUAACCAUUGUUUGUAUUAUUACCUGAAUAACUUAAUAGGCUCCAAAGUUUCCAAAGCCCACUUUUUUUUGUCUUUUCAUUUUUUAUUUAACUUCAUAAUUUUACGGGUAUACAUGGGUUUUGGUGACAUAAUUUGCUUUUGUAUAGUUUGAGUCGAAGUUGUAAGUGUGCCCUUCAGCCAGGUAGUGUGCAUUGUAC